rnacentral:rRNA from 1 species
AAUGAACGCUGGCGGCGUGCUUAACACAUGCAAGUCGUGCGCGAAAGUGACUUCGGUCACUGGAGAGCGGCGAACGGGUGAGUAACACGUGGACAACCUGCCUGGAAGUGGGGGAUAACCUGGGGAAACUUGGGCUAAUACCGCAUACGUUCGUGGAGUCUCGGCUCUGCGAACAAAGAUGGCCUCUGCUUGCAAGCUAUCGCUACCAGAGGGGUCCGCGCCNGAUUAGCUAGUUGGUAGGGUAAUGGCCUACCAAGGCGACGAUCAGUAGCCGGCCUGAGAGGGUGAUCGGCCACACUGGAACUGAGACACGGUCCAGACUCCUACGGGAGCAGCAGUGGGAAUAUUGGACAAUGGCGCAAGCCUGAUCCAGCAACGCCGCGUGGAGGAUGAAGGUCUUCGGAUUGUAAACUCCUGUCAGGUGGGAAGAAUGACUGUCGGCAAAUAGUCGAUAGUUUUGACUGUACCAUCGGAGGAAGCCCGGC